AAGAGGAAGUCUGUGUUUACUGAGUGUGUGCAUGGACUGCCUUCACAGUCAAGAUUAUCAACUGUGUUGGAUGGCGAGAAGACCCACAGAGAAAAAACAUGGCAGGGGACAUGGAGAGGUGCACAGCAUUAAAUUGGUGGUCUAAGGAGGAGAGAUUCCAGGUAGUCCUGAAAAUCCUGCCCUGACUUCCCUCAACGGCAGACUCUCCCUGGAACGUGAAACAAACCAUCUUCAGGUGGUUUUUGAUGUUUCUCACAGCAACAGAAAAGCAAACCAAGACAGACACCCACAGAUCAAGUGGAUGGCUCCUCCCUUCUCCC
rnacentral:lncRNA from 1 species